rnacentral:tRNA from 1 species
GCAGUGAUGGCGGAACUGGUAGACGCGCACGUUUGAGGGGCGUGUGAUUUAUAUCGUGUGAGUUCAAAUCUCAUUCGCUGCACCA